rnacentral:rRNA from 1 species
UAGCUAGUAGGUGAGGUAAAGGCUUACCAAGGCGACGAUCUGUAGCGGGUCUGAGAGGAUGAUCCGCCACACUGGAACUGAGACACGGUCCAGACUCCUACGGGAGGCAGCAGUGGGGAAUUUUGGACAAUGGGGGCAACCCUGAUCCAGCCAUGCCGCGUGAGUGAAGAAGGCCUUCGGGUUGUAAAGCUCUUUCGGCCGGGAAGAAAUCGCAUGGGCCAAUACCCUGUGUGGAUGACGGUACCGGAAUAAGAAGCACCGGCUAACUACGAGCCAGCAGCCGCGGUAAUACGUAGGGUGCGAGCGUUAAUCGGAAUUACUGGGCGUAAAGCGUGCGCAGGCGGUUUUGUAAGACAGGCGUGAAAUCCCCGGGCUUAACCUGGGAACUGCGUUUGUGACUGCAAGGCUAGAGUACGGCAGAGGGGGGUGGAAUUCCACGUGUAGCAGUGAAAUGCGUAGAGAUGUGGAGGAACACCAAUGGCGAAGGCAGCCCCCUGGGUCGAUACUGACGCUCAUGCACGAAAGCGUGGGUAGCAAACAGGAUUAGAUACCCUGGUAGUCCACGCCCUAAACUAUGUCAACUAGGUGUUGGGUGGGUAAAACCAUUUAGUACCGUAGCUAACGCGUGAAGUUGACCGCCUGGGGAGUACGGCCGCAAGGUUAAAACUCAAAGGAAUUGACGGGGACCCGCACAAGCGGUGGAUGAUGUGGAUUAAUUCGAUGCAACGCGAAAAACCUUACCUACCCUUGACAUGCCAGGAACUUGCCAGAGAUGGCUUGGUGCCCGAAAGGGAGCCUGGACACAGGUGCUGCAUGGCUGUCGUCAGCUCGUGUCGUGAGAUGUUGGGUUAAGUCCCGCAACGAGCGCAACCCUUGUCGUUAAUUGCCAUCAUUUAGUUGGGCACUUUAACGAGACUGCCGGUGACAAACCGGAGGAAGGUGGGGAUGACGUCAAGUCCUCAUGGCCCUUAUGGGUAGGGCUUCACACGUCAUACAAUGGUCGGUACAAAGGGUUGCCAAGCCGCGAGGCGGAGCCAAUCCCAGAAAGCCGAUCGUAGUCCGGAUUGCAGGCUGCAACUCGCCUGCAUGAAGUCGGAAUCGCUAGUAAUCGUGGAUCAGCAUGUCACGGUGAAUACGUUCCCGGGUCUUGUACACACCGCCCGUCACACCAUGGGAGCGGGUUCCGCCAGAAGUAGGUAGCCUAACCGCAAGGGGGGCGCUUACCACGGCGGGGUUCGUGGCUGGGGUGAAGUCGAAACAAGGUAGCCGUAGGGGAACCUGCGGCUG